rnacentral:rRNA from 1 species
UUCCAGACUCCUACGGGAGGCAGCAGUGAGGAAUAUUGGUCAAUGGGCGGAAGCCUGAACCAGCCAAGUCGCGUGAGGGAAGAAGGCCCUGCGGGUCGCAGACCUCUUUGGACGGGGAGCAAGGCCGCCGACGUGUCGGCGGAAGGAGAGUACCCGUAGAACAAGCAUCGGCUAACUCCGUGCCAGCAGCCGCGGUAAUACGUAGGGGGCGAGCGUUAUCCGGAUUCACUGGGUGUAAAGGGAGCGUAGACGGCCAGGCAAGCCAGGGGUGGAAGCCCGGGGCCCAACCCCGGGACUGCCCUUGGAACUGUGCGGCUAGAGUGCGGGAGGGGCAGGCGGAAUUCCUGGUGUAGCGGUGAAAUGCGUAGAUAUCAGGAGGAACACCGGCGGCGAAGGCGACCUGCUGGACCGCGACUGACGUUGAGGCUCGAAAGCGUGGGGAGCGAACAGGAUUAGAUACCCUAGUAAAC